rnacentral:hammerhead_ribozyme from 1 species
AUUCAGUUGACGAGUUCCAAAUAGGACGAAACGUACAUCCUGAAU